UAUUGUAAUCAAAGUUGCAUUUAAAUAGAAGCACUUUUGUGAAUUCGACACAAGAACUCGAAAAAUAAAACAAAUAAAAAUGUUUUUUACAAAAAGUUUCAUUUUUUUUAUUCUAACUAUCUGUAUCUUUCUAAUUACUCACGGGCAGGAAGCAAAUGGAGCUGCAAUUUCUCUGGUCAGUGAGGAAAAUGAAUUUUCCGACAAUAAUGAUUUUGGUAGAUUAAUUUCAGCUAAGAGACAAGCAGAAGAUGCGUGUAAGAAAGAGGGACCAUGUCGUAGUUCUUCAGAGUGUUGUCUCAAUCAUAAAUGUAUUUCUGAACUUGGUUGUACACCACAAUAAAGGAUUAUGUGCGAUAUAUUCCUUUCUUCUACGGUAAUAUAUAUAUAUAUAUAUAUAUAUAUGGGAAAGUGAAUAUAAACCAGUCGCAGUCUUUUUUUAUUACUACAGCAUAUAUCAUUGACAAAUUAAAUAAUAUGAAUAUUGAAAAUAAAUAAAAACUGUAAAAAUAUGACAUAGACUAACUUUGGUAAAAUAAUAAAUUUAAAACACUUUUAACAAAAAG